GUGGGGAAUAUUGCACAAUGGGCGCAAGCCUGAUGCAGCAACGCCGCGUGAGGGACGACGGCCUUCGGGUUGUAAACCUCUUUUAGCAGGGAAGAAGCGAAAGUGACGGUACCUGCAGAAAAAGCACCGGCUAACUACGUGCCAGCAGCCGCGGUAAUACGUAGGGUGCAAGCGUUGUCCGGAAUUAUUGGGCGUAAAGAGCUCGUAGGCGGUUUGUCGCGUCUGCUGUGAAAACCCGAGGCUCAACCUCGGGCCUGCAGUGGGUACGGGCAGACUAGAGUGCGGUAGGGGAGAUUGGAAUUCCUGGUGUAGCGGUGGAAUGCGCAGAUAUCAGGAGGAACACCGAUGGCGAAGGCAGAUCUCUGGGCCGUAACUGACGCUGAGGAGCGAAAGCGUGGGGAGCGAACAGGAUUAGAAACCCGUGUAGUCCU
rnacentral:rRNA from 1 species